AAUUAACGAAAUAAAUUUUGUAAGAUGUGAAUUAGUUCGCGAGAGCUAGACAUGGCGACCACAGCGGAACGCGGAACAGGGCGGACCGAAGCAAGACGGUACUACACCGGUUUGUUAUUGUUAUGACUCAAGGUUAGUUCGUCUGCUAGAGGUGUCCCUGUCACAACGCUCGACUCCGAAAUCCGAGCACAGUUUUUCGCGAAACGUCGGUAGAUCGCUAAAGAAGCGAUCUCGGAGCUUUCGCGAAAGAGUGCUCAUUGAAAUUUGAUUUUUCGGAGCUCGUAAAUCUGUCAGCAGCGGUGCUUUUCCUUUUCAAUAAAAAUCCAAGCCCAGUCUCAGAAUUUAAAAAAAACAUAGUGCUCUGAAUUUUGGAGAGGUAUCGAGUUAGUUUGAGAUCUUGAAUGUCAGGCGUCCUUGGCCUGACUCGAACGUUCCUUUUUAAACGUCAUCAACAAUUCUCUGGGUUUGAGAGCAAAAUCUGCCGAAUAAUUGAGUGUGUAUGCUAAGUUUGUAUUGUAAAAGAAUUUUAAAGCAUUAUUUUCAUUAGUGCUUUAGAAAAAAAAUUACUUGAUUGUUAAUUUUUAGAUAUAAGUUACAAUUUUCAGAACCAUAAUCUAGUAAGCGGCCAGUUUGAACGGCAAUUAGGACAAUUUAAACGCGUGCUCAUUGUGCAAAUAAAAAGUAUAAUCCAUACAAAUUCUUUACGUGACAGAUCGUGUAAGAAGUUUAUUCGGGCUGCUGGUCAACUUGCCAACCUCUCCUACAUCCUGCUGCGAAUCCUUUUCCAUCGGCGCGAUCCCAUACUACUCCUACUCAGUGAAUUUGCUCUCUACCUUCUAAUCAGCUUGUUUUUGACGAAUCGUCAAUACAGAAGAUGAAUACGCAAGAUCCGUUACAUAGCCCAGUACCGAAGUGGCCAACAAGGUUGAACUCAGCGACUUCGCAGAUACCGUAACCAAAGGUUGCUGUUCAAUAGUUUAACGCGAAGAUGCAAACGUCUGCUCAAGCCACAGCUAGCCAUCGCAACUAAAUGCUGCAGAAGUUUUCUACAAGCAUCAUUAUAGGAAACGAUAAUGAUGUUCGAGAUGAUCAGUUGGCUACACCCGGACGUAAGAAAAUCGGUACGGGGAGACGCACCUCAUGUUAAACUGCUAUAAAAGCAAAUUUCUAGUUCGUCAGCUAACACCUGCAAAGCAGGUCUCCUCUAGCAGACUUGCAAUACGACAAAGACAAACGCACACUCACACUUGAGCAAAAAAUUCAUGCGUAAUUGGCAUAGCUAUAACACUGUCAGUCAUAAAUCGAUGAACUUUUCAUUUAACUUGAUCCUGUAAGUGAUUUAUAAUGAAAAUAAAAUUUGUAAUAAAGAA
rnacentral:lncRNA from 1 species